AUUGAACGCUGGCGGCAGGCUUAACACAUGCAAGUCGAGCGGGGUGAUGGUGCUUGCACUAUCACUUAGCGGCGGACGGGUGAGUAAUGCUUAGGAAUCUGCCUAUUAGUGGGGGACAACAUCUCGAAAGGGAUGCUAAUACCGCAUACGUCCUACGGGAGAAAGCAGGGGAUCACUUGUGACCUUGCGCUAAUAGAUGAGCCUAAGUCGGAUUAGCUAGUUGGUGGGGUAAAGGCCUACCAAGGCGACGAUCUGUAGCGGGUCUGAGAGGAUGAUCCGACACACUGGGACGGAGACACGGCCCAGACUCCUACGGGAGGCAGCAGUGGGGAAUAUUGGACAAUGGGGGGAACCCUGAUCCAGCCAUGCCGCGUGUGUGAAGAAGGCCUUAUGGUUGUAAAGCACUUUAAGCGAGGAGGAGGCUCUUUUGGUUAAUACCCAAGAUGAGUGGACGUUACUCGCAGAAUAAGCACCGGCUAACUCUGUGCCAGCCGCCGCCGCAG
rnacentral:rRNA from 1 species